CUCCAGACUCCUACGGGAGGCAGCAGUGAGGAAUAUUGGUCAAUGGGCGCGAGCCUGAACCAGCCAAGUCGCGUGAGGGAAGACGGCCCUAUGGAUUGUAAACCUCUUUUGUCGGGGAGCAAAAGACGCCACGCGUGGCGCUCCGAGAGUACCCGAAGAAAAAGCAUCGGCUAACUCCGUGCCAGCAGCCGCGGUAAUACGGAGGAUGCGAGCGUUAUCCGGAUUUAUUGGGUUUAAAGGGUGCGCAGGCGGAAGAUCAAGUUAGGGGUAAAAUUGAGAGGCUCAACCUCUUCGAGCCGUUGAAACUGGCUUGCUAGAGUGGGCGAGAAGUAUGCGGAAUGCGUGGUGUAGCGGUGAAAUGCAUAGAUAUCACGCAGAACUCCGAUUGCGAAGGCAGCAUACCGGCGCUCAACUGACGCUCAUGCACGAAAGUGUGGGUAUCGAACAGGAUUAGAUACCCCUGUA
rnacentral:rRNA from 1 species